AGAUCUCUUCAUUGUCAGGUACCU
rnacentral:siRNA from 1 species